GGGGGCUGUACUCCUAUACUGCAGUCGAGCGGAAGAUGGGAGCUUGUCCUGAUGUUAGCGGCGGACGGGUGAGUACACGUGGGUACUGCCUGUAGACUGGGAUUACUCCUGAACCGGCGCUAAUACCGGAUGUUGUUGAAUGCAUGUUCAACAUAAAGGUGGCUUCGCCUACCACUUACAGAUGGACCCGCGGCGCAUUAGCUAGUUGGUCGGGAAGGGCUCACCAAGGCAACCAUGCGUCGUGGACCUGAGAGGGUGACCGGCUAUACUGGGACUGAGACACGAUCAAACUCUAUACGGGAGGGAGCAGUAGGGAAUCUUCCGCAAUGGACGAAGUCUGACGGAGCAACGCCGCGUGAGUGAUGAAGGUUUUCGGAUCGUAAAGCUCUGUUGUUAGGGAAGAACAAGUACCGUUCGAAUAGGGCGGUACCUUGACGGUACCUAACCAGAAAGCCACGGCUAACUACGUGCCAGCAGCCGCGGUAAUACGUAGGUGGCAAGCGUUGUCCGGAAUUAUUGGGCGUAAAGGGCUCGCAGGCGGUUUCUUAAGUCUGAUGUGAAAGCCCCCGCUCAACCGGGAGGGUCAUUGGGAACUGGGGGACUUGAGUGCAGAAGAGGAGAGUGGAAUUCCACGUGUAGCGGUGAAAUGCGUAGAGAUGUGGAGGACACCAGUGCGAAGCGACUCUCUGUCUGUAACUGACGCUGAGGAGCGAAACGUGGGAGCGAACAGGAUAGAUACCCUGUAGUCCACGCGUAAACGAUGAGUGCUAAGUGUAGGGGGUUCCGCCCCUUAGUGGCUGCAGCUAACGCAUUAAGCACUCCGCCUGGGGAGUACGGUCGCAGACUGAAACUCAAAGGAAUGACGGGGCCCGCACAUGCGUUGGAGCAUUGUUAAUUCGAGCACCGGAGAACUUACAGGUCUGGACAUCCUCUGACAAUCUAGAGAUAGACGUCCCCUCGGCCAGAGUGCAGUAGGCAUGUGUUCGUCAGUCAGUCGUGAUGUGUUAGUUCGCACAGGCACUUGAUCUUAGUGCAGCUCAGUGGCACUUAGGUGACUCGCGUGGCAUC
rnacentral:rRNA from 1 species